rnacentral:lncRNA from 1 species
GAGCCCAGGAGUUGGAGAUCAGUCUGGGCAACGUCGAGAGACCUUGUCUCUAAAAAAAUUUUUAAAAAUUAGCUGGGAGUAGUGGCGCAUGCCUAUAGUCCCAGCUACUUGGGAGGCUGAGGUGGGAUGAUCAUUUGAGCCCAGGAAUUUGAGGAUGCAGUGAGCUAUGAUCAUGCCACUGCACUCCAAGUUGGACAACAUAGUGAGACCGCAUCUCAACAUACACUCCCCAAAACUCUCUCUCUCUCUCUCUCUAUAUCAGGGGUCCCCAACCACCAGGGCCAUGAACCUGUACUGGUCCACGGCCUAUCAGGAACCGGGCUGCACAGCAGGAGGUGAGUGGCGGGUGAGUGAGCAAAGCUUCAUUUGUAUUUACAGCCACUCCCCGUUGCUCACCAUUACCUCCUGAGCUCCGCCUCCUGUCAAAUCAACAGCAGCAUUAGAUGAGCGCGAACCCUAUUGUGAACUGCGCAUGUGAGGAAUCCAGG